rnacentral:sRNA from 1 species
ACAAAAAAAAAUUGCAAAAAAUAUCAAAAAAAUUGCUUUUUUUUUUUCGUUUCCACGCCAAAAAUUGAGAAAAAUUGUUUUUUUAUCUUUGUUUUAUUUUUGUUUUGACAAAUUUUG